rnacentral:rRNA from 1 species
GUGAUAAGCUGCGAUAAGCUUCGGUGAGGUGCAAAUAACCGCUAACCCGAAGAUUUCCGAAUGGGGCAACCCACCUACUAUGUAGGUAUCCCGCAAGGGAGGCAAACCCGGAGAACUGAAACAUCUAAGUACCCGGAGGAGAAGAAAACAAAAGUGAUUCCCUUAGUAGUGGCGAUCGAAAAGGGACCAGCCCAAACCAGUAUUGUUUCGGCAAUGCUGGGGUUAUAGGACUACGAUAUGAUAAAGUGCGUGAAGUGAAACGCUUUGGAAAGAGCGGCCAAAGAGAGUGAUAGCCUCGUCCACGUAAGCAAUCUGCAUCUAGUAGUAUCCUGAGUAGCGCGGAACACGAGAAAUUCUGUGUGAAUUUGCCAGGACCAUCUGGUAAGGCUAAAUACUCCUGAGAGACCGAUAGUGAACAAGUACCGUGAGGGAAAGGUGAAAAGCACCUCGAAUAGAGGAGUGAAAUAGUACCUGAAACCAUACGCUUACAAGCGGUCGGAGCACCUUUGGGUGUGACGGCGUGCCUUUUGCAUAAUGAGCCUACGAGUUACUCCUCACUAGCAAGAUUAAGAUCUUCAGGAUCGAAGUCGAAGCGAAAGCGAGUCUGAAUAGGGCGAAUAAGUUAGUGGGGGUAGACGCGAAACUUGGUGAUCUACCCAUGGUCAGGCUGAAGCUCUGUUAAUCCAGAGUGGAGGGCCCAACCCGUUGACGUUGAAAAGUCUUGGGAUGAACUGUGGGUAGGGGUGAAAGGCCAAUCAAACUGAGAAAUAGCUCGUACUCCCCGAAAUGCAUUUAGGUGCAGCGUCAGAGUUAAGAGUUAUAGAGGUAGAGCUACUGAUUGGAUGCGAGGGCUUCACCGCCUAUCAAAUCCAGACAAACUCCGAAUGCUAUAACUUAUAUCUGGCAGUGAGCCCGUGGGUGCUAAGGUCCACGGACGAGAGGGAAAGAACCCAGACCAUCAGCUAAGGUCCCCAAAUGUAUGCUAAGUUGAACAAACGUGGUAAGAUUGCAUAGACAGCUAGGAUGUUGGCUUGGAAGCAGCCAUUCAUUUAAAGAGUGCGUAACAGCUCACUAGUCGAGCGAUCUUGCGUGGAUGAUAAUCGGGCAUAAGUAUACUACCGAAGCUAUGGACUUGCGUUGAAAGACACGCAUUUGGUAGGGGAGCAUUCUAAACCGCGUAGAAGGUGUGUGGUAAUGCACGCUGGAGCGUUUAGAAAAGCAAAUGUAGGCAUAAGUAACGAUAAUGCGGGUGAGAAACCCGCACGCCAAUAGACUAAGGUUUCCUGAUCAACGCUAAUCGGAUCAGGGUAAGUCGGGACCUAAGGUUAACCCGAAAGGGGAUAUCGAUGGACAACCGGUUAAUAUUCCGGUACCCGUUUUAACUGCGAUGGGGUGACGAAGAGAUGAUAAUGCCGCGUACUGACGGAAUAGUACGUUGAAGGCCGUAUGCUAUGAGACUGGUAGGCAAAUCCGCCAGUUGAGCUGAAAGCUGAUAGUACCGCAAUGCUUCGGCAGCGUGGAUAGUGCAUGUAAUUUGACUUCCAAGAAAAACCUCUAAGCAUCAGGUUAAAAUGGCCCGUACCUCAAACCGACACAGGUAGUCAAGUAGAGAAUACUAAGGCGCUCGAGUGAUUCAUGGCUAAGGAACUCGGCAAAAUAACUCCGUAACUUCGGGAGAAGGAGUGCUCUCAGCGAUGAGAGCCGCAGUGAAAUGGCCCAGGCGACUGUUUAUCAAAAACACAUGGCUUUGCAAAAACGAAAGUUGAAGUAUAAGGCCUGACACCUGCCCGGUGCCGGAAGGUUAAGAGGAGAUGUUAGCUUCGGCGAAGCAUUGAAUUGAAGCCCUGGUAAACGGCGGCCGUAACUAUAACGGUCCUAAGGUAGCGAAAUUCCUUGUCGGGUAAGUUCCGACCUGCACGAAUGGUGUAACGAUCUGGGUGCUGUCUCAGCUGUAGACUCGGUGAAAUUAAA